rnacentral:ribozyme from 16 species
UUUUUUUUUUUUUUUUUUUUUUUUUUUUUCAGCAAAAAGUGCCGUUAGUAGAUCAUCGUUGCAGAGCAAGAUGUUGAUCUACCAUAUGUGAAGAAGCAACCAGACGAACGAUAGUAGAAAUCCCUAAAAAGAUUUUCUCUGUAUGAUUCA